rnacentral:rRNA from 1 species
AUGCCCAAGUUCAAUGGAAGCAAUGACCCCGAAGAGUACCUUUCAUGGGCAUUGAAGGUCGGCAAAAUCUUCCGCUUGCACAACUAUGAUGAAGAGAAGAAGAUCGCGAUGGCAUCCCUUGAGUUCCAAAACUAUAUCCUCAUUUGGUGGGAACAAGUCAUUGAGCGCCAAGAGGCAAAAGGUGAACCACCCAUCACUACUUGGGCACAAAUGAAGGAUGUCAUGAGAGCACGCUUCGUGCCAACCUACUACAACCGCAACCUCUUCAAGAAACUCCAACUACUCAAGCAAGGAACCAAGAGCGUCGAAGAAUAUUAUAAGGAAAUGAAGAUUGCAAUGAUACGAGCCAAUGCCACGGAAGAUAAUGAGCAAACUAUGGCACGUUUCUUGAAUGGACUCAAUCACCCUAUCAAGAAGAUCGCCGACUUCCAACCAUACUCAAACCUCAUCGAGCUAGUGCAUCAAGCUACCAAGGCGGAACGUCAAGUGCAAGAUGACUUCAAGUAUGCCAAGUUCUCAUCCAAGUCCUAUGGUUUCUCCAACACCCAAGCUUUCAACGACUCCAACACCUUCUACAUCAACCAAGCCUUCUACAAGCAACAACGACAAGUCGAGUUCUAA